rnacentral:rRNA from 1 species
UUACGAUUGACGGAGCGAAGCGACGUCAAAGCGUAUACAAAGUCGAGUCGGUUUAAGGAUACGUUCGUUGGGUAGGGGAGCGUUCUGUAAGCCUGUGAAGGUGUGUCGUGAGGCAUGCUGGAGGUAUCAGAAGUGCGAAUGCUGACAUAAGUAACGAUAAAGCGGGUGAAAAGCCCGCUCGCCGGAAGACCAAGGGUUCCUGUCCAACGUUAAUCGGGGCAGGGUGAGUCGACCCCUAAGGCGAGGCCGAAAGGCGUAGUCGAUGGGAAACGGGUUAAUAUUCCCGUACUUGGUGUUACUGCGAAGGGGGGACGGAGAAGGCUAUGUUGGCCGGGCGACGGUUGUCCCGGUUUAAGCGUGUAGGCUGGUUUUCCAGGCAAAUCCGGAAAAUCAAGGCUGAGGCGUGAUGACGAGGCACUACGGUGCUGAAGCAACAAAUGCCCUGCUUCCAGGAAAAGCCUCUAAGCAUCAGGUAACAUCAAAUCGUACCCCAAACCGACACAGGUGGUCAGGUAGAGAAUACCAAGGCGCUUGAGAGAACUCGGGUGAAGGAACUAGGCAAAAUGGUGCCGUAACUUCGGGAGAAGGCACGCUGACACGUAGGUGAAGUGAUUUACUCAUGGAGCUGAAGUCAGUCGAAGAUACCAGCUGGCUGCAACUGUUUAUUAAAAACACAGCACUGUGCAAACACGAAAGUGGACGUAUACGGUGUGACGCCUGCCCGGUGCCGGAAGGUUAAUUGAUGGGGUCAGCGCAAGCGAAGCUCCUGAUCGAAGCCCCGGUAAACGGCGGCCGUAACUAUAACGGUCCUAAGGUAGCGAAAUUCCUUGUCGGGUAAGUUCCGACCUGCACGAAUGGCGUAAUGAUGGCCAGGCUGUCUCCACCCGAGACUCAGUGAAAUUGAACUCGCUGUGAAGAUGCAGUGUACCCGCGGCAAGACGGAAAGACCCCGUGAACCUUUACUAUAGCUUGACACUGAACAUUGAGCCUUGAUGUGUAG